rnacentral:rRNA from 1 species
GAAUUUUGGACACUGGGCGAAAGCCUGAUCCAGCAAUGCCGCGUGCAGGAUGAAGGCCUUCGGGUUGUAAACUGCUUUUGUACGGAACGACACGCUUUGGGUUAAAACCCUGGAGUCAUUACGGUACCGGAAGGAUCAGAAACGGCCAACUACGUGCCCGCCGCCGCGGUAAUCCGCGGUGUGCAAGCGUUAAUCGGAAUUACUGGGCGUAAAUCGUGCGCAUGCGGUUUUGUAAGACAGAGGUGAAAUCCCCGGGCUCAACCUGGGAACUGCCUUUGUGACUGCAAGGCUAGAGUACGGCAGAGGGGGGUGGAAUUCCGCGUGUAGCAGUGAAAUGCGUAGAUAUGCGGAGGAACACCGAUGGCGAAGGCAACCCCCUGGGCCUGUACUGACGCUCAUGCACGAAAGCGUGGGGAGCAAACA